UACGUAGGGGGCAAGCGUUGUCCGGAUUUAUUGGGCGUAAAGAGCGUGUAGGCGGCCUGAAAGGUCAGCUGUGAAAACUCGAGGCUCAACCUCGAGACGUCGGUUGAAACCAUCUGGCUAGAGUCCGGAAGAGGAGUGUGGAAUUCCCGGUGUAGCGGUGAAAUGCGCAGAUAUCGGGAAGAACACCCGUGGCGAAGGCGGCUCACUGGCUCAUUACUGACGCUCAGGCGCGACAGCGUGGGGAUCAAACAGG
rnacentral:rRNA from 1 species